UUUGAAAUGGUGUAAUGAUGACUUUAAUUUCGCAUUUCUGUGGAAUUUUGUGACAAAAAAGAAAGAAAUUAUAGUUUAUAUGCAAGUGUAGGUAAAAUGUUGGUAAUGCAUUUCCCAAAUUUUUUCCAGACAUAGGCAAACAGUAGCAAUGUAUUUCCCAUGUUGUAUCUAAAUACUACCCAAACAGUAACAAUCCAUUUGCAGGUAAUGUAUUUCCAAGUAUCCAAACGGCCCCUAAGGGAAUAACAGAAGCCAUGUGAAGCUCAAUCUUCCCAAGCUUGAGUUUGGUAGUUCAAGCUCAAGCUCGCCCUCCACCUUUGUACUUGAAUCCUGAACGUGGCUUAGAUUGGAUCGACACUUUGACACUCUGCGGAUCCAUGGAUUAGAAAUCUGAGAAAAUACCCGCUUUUACCAUUGGAAAAGUGUAGCCUGCGUCAGGGGAUGCACUUCUACAUGUGCUUCCCCUGACACUACUAGCAUCAAUCUUUUUUUUUAUUAUGGAUGUGGUUUCUAUAAGGUUGCAAUCUUAAAUAAUUCAUUUAAGCUGCC
rnacentral:lncRNA from 1 species